ACCACUAAGGUAGCAUCUUUUUCUGGAGGUUGCUCCUGUGUGGGGUUUUUGUGUUAUGGCAGUCCAGCCAAGCAGAUGCACAAGGCAGUGUCGGUGUUGACAACUCUGCCCCAGGAGGAGCAAGAUGGUCUGGCAGAAGAACCUGCAGAAGCAAUGCAAACAGUGCCUUCAAACCCUGACAGAAGACCCUUUGGGAAGGAGGGUAUAGACAGAAGAAACCAGAAGAAUUCCUUUAGUUACCAAUAAGCUUAUACAGAGUAACUGAACAGCUGCUUCUUGUUUUAAAAUCUCGCCCCAGCUGAGCCUGAGCUGCACAACUCUUUCAGGUGUGACAGGCAGACCUGUCUCCAGUAUCACAGCCUCCACAUGACUGGGGACAGUGACUCAGGUGGCUUCACAACCUGUCACAGGAGCAACCAUCACGUGCUCAUCAACCUCACCAAUUUCCAGUUUGCCUUCGGAUCAAAACCAACUGCUGCUGUAAGCAAGGGGAUCAUGAUUUCAUUCCUGGACUGGUCAUAAGCCAGAAAGAAGACUCUGUGUUACCUUUGAGAUGCAUUUCACUAUGGUCAGGGCAACUACACUGCAACCCCUGGCACAGAAGUAGUGCCAACACAGGUAGUUCUUACUGUCACUAUUUAGUCUGAGGAGGUUUCUCCCCAGAUAGGACUGGAGUCAUCCAGGCCUUGCUGGACAGAACUGCUGAUACCUCAAAUCCAAUGGGAUUUCCCAUUUUGGCACCCUCAUUUCUUCUGGAGUAAUUGCCUCAUCCACUGCUCAGCAGGUCUGGGUACCAGACCCAGGACUUAGGGCAGUCAGUAGGGGCACCUGGGCUGUGUACCUUCUACUACUGAAGCUACUUUCCUGGGCCCCAUCACAGCCAUGCAAUGCUGGCAAGGUGCAUUUCUCCUUUCCUCCCACUCAAAGGCAACCUUCUUCAAUGUCAUAUAAAGGGAAUUUAUUGUACAGAAAGAAGAGGAAAAACACCUUUCUGAUACUUCUGUUACUCAUGAAAGAAUCACUUUCACGCACUGCCCUGACAUGCCCUUGUCCUCUUUCGAUAGUUAUAUCAAAGCGAGAGGUUUGGAGACUGACAGCAAGCUCAUGGAGUGAAAUCUCAUGGUAUUAGACAUGAAAGACUCAGGUUCCAUUACAGUAGGUGACAUCUUGGCAGGGUGAAAAACAGUUGCUCCCAGGAAGGAUCUGACUGCUGCAGGCUGUGCAGAUGCUGAGAAUGCACUACCCCAGGCUGCAAAACCAGAUGGAACCUGGAGGCACAAAAAGUGACCCGGGGCCCAACACUCCCUUUCUAGGAGGCCAAGGCAGCCAUUAACCUACAGUGACUCUGCAGCUCCCAGUCUGAGCCAGGCCUGAUCCACCUAGCCCAUCAGUUCUGCCUCAUUGACUGCACACAGCCUCUUCCAAAUGCUGCUGUAAACAGCAGGCUCUUGGAGGAGGCUGGAAGGUGGCACUGGUGAGGUUCACGGGCCAUCUCCUGGCUCCCCUCUCCAAGCACAGCCACCUUGCCAUGGGAAGGAAACCUUUGGCAGCUGUCUUGUGCUGAGAGACAGGGCUUGCUGAGCGUGGCUGAGUAAUUCCAGCCUCUUCAUCACUGCAGCUGCAUGCAUCCUCGUUCUCCCAACCCAAGGAUCGCUGCUUCACUGAAUCACCCCAUUAAAUUGCUAAUAUCUUAUUGUUCUUUAAGAUUUCGAAACUUGCUGCGAAACGUUUACAGAUAAUUUUUUUUGCCUGCAGUCACUGUGCCUAAUGCCCAGUCAUUGAGUGCCAUAUGUGUUUAUAUGCACUGCAAUUUUCCACUUGAUUACAUUUUACCACAAACACUUUCAUCCACUCCGCAAAGACAGCAGCAACACAUCCAUAACAUUCAGAGCAGCCCAGAUAGACAGUGCCCAGACAGAAAUAUCUCCAUACCGGCCAGGGCACCUCAAAAUGUUGGAUUCCUAACUCCAGUUGAUUCAAACUAGCCCCAAAGCCCCCAGACGCACAAGCAUGUCUGC